UUGGCUCUCCCUCUCAUACGGGGUGACAGGCAGACACGAGGGUCCUGUCCGUCAGGUUCAGGAUUGAUGUGGCCAUUGACGACCACUGUGGCAGAGUUUGACUUUGUGAAAGGCCGGGUCCGCAUCAACACACAGCCCCCUUCCUGUGGUGGGACCGCACGGGUGACACUCUGUAGUGUCAUUUUUAUUGUUGCUGUGUAGAGCCGACCGACCCUUAUUGUGAAGAGAACUGAUUGAUUGAACCAUCAGCGGAAUUGUUCGUUUCUUAUUGCCUCAUCCCUAUAUUUUAUGGAAAUUUUAUUUAUCUAUUGUAAUAAAACCAACUUAACUUUUACACAAGAUACACCUCUGGUAAAUUGUUCCUGUUCGGGGAAGUCAGAGUGGGUCACAACUUGUACGGGAGAUGUUAAAGGUUUAAGGGUUCCUCAUGCCCCUUAGCGGGAGGUGGUGUUGUCAGAUAUUGUCAAAGGCAAAUCUUAGUACCAGGUACUACACUCAUAUUCGGAAUGAUUUUUCUUGCCUAGAUGAACGAUUCAUUC